UUCUUGCCCAUCUCAUCUGUGUGAAAAAGUAUCCUUUUUUCCAAUUCACAGAAGCUGUGAGUCCUUCAGUGCUACCCCCUUCAGCUUUGCCACUGGACCUGCUUAAUAAUGCUAUAACUGCCUUUAGUACCUUGGAAGACCUUAUUCGAUAUCUUGAACCAGAGAGAUGGCAGUUGGACUUAGAAGAUCUAUAUAGGCCAACUUGGCAACUUCUUGGCAAGGCUUUUGUUUUUGGAAGAAAAUCCAGAGUGGUGGAUCUGAACCUUCUAACAGAGGAGGUUGUCUCCUGGUUAAACGCUGUGGUGGGAACUGUGCCUGUUGUCUCCACAAUUGCAAUGAAUGUCAAUGUGUCCCAAGCAAAGUUACUAAAAAAUACCACGAGGUCCUUCAGUUGAGACCAAAGACCGGUGUCAGGGGAUUGCACAAAUCACUCACCGACGUGGCCCUGGAGCACCAUGAGGAGUGUGACUGUGUGUGCAGAGGGAGCACAGGAGGAUAGCCGCAUCACCACCAGCAGCUCUUGCCCAGAGCUGUGCAGUGCAGUGGCUGAUUCUAUUAGAGAACGUAUGCGUUAUCUCCAUCCUUAAUCUCAGUUGUUUGCUUCAAGGACCUUUCAUCUUCAGGAUUUACAGUGCAUUCUGAAAGAGGAGACAUCAAACAGAAUUAGGAGUUGUGCAACAGCUCUUUUGAGAGGAGGCCUAAAGGACAGGAGAAAAGGUCUUCAAUCGUGGAAAGAAAAUUAAAUGUUGUAUUAAAUAGAUCACCAGCUAGUUUCAGAGUUACCAU
rnacentral:lncRNA from 1 species